AUUGAACGCUGGCGGCAGGCCUAACACAUGCAAGUCGAACGAGUGGCGGACGGGUGAGUACUGUCUGGGAAACUGCCCGAUGGAGGGGGAUAACUACUGGAAACGGUAGCUCAUACCGCAUACCAUCGGAUGUUCCCAGAUGGGAUUAGCUUGUAGGUGAGGUAACGGCUCACCUAGGCGACUAUCCCUAGCUGGUCUGAGAGGAUGACCAGCGAACAGGGAACUGAGCCACGGUCCAUACUCCUGCGUGAGGCAGCAGUGGGGAAUAGUGCACACUGGGCGCAAGCCUGAUGCAGCCAUGCCGCGUGUAUGCAGAAGGCCUUCGGGUUGUAAAGUACUUUCAGCGGGGAGGCGUUACCCGCAGAAGAAGCACCGGCUAACUCCGUGCCAGCAGCCGCGGUAAUAC
rnacentral:rRNA from 1 species